rnacentral:rRNA from 1 species
AACGACUCUCGGCAACGGAUAUCUCGGCUCUCGCAUCGAUGAAGAACGUAGCGAARUGCGAUACUUGGUGUGAAUUGCAGAAUCCCGUGAACCAUCGAGUCUUUGAACGCAAGUUGCGCCCGAAGCCAUUAGGCCAGGGCACGUCUGGCUGGGUGUCACACAACG